GUUCGGUGAUGAUUACCCCAUGCGUGUCAUCUGAUCCCGUGCCUCGAUUUCCCCCCUCCAGCCCGCGUUCUGCUGGGCAGGGGGAGGGAUCCCCGGGGUCGGGGAAGUGAUCAUGCCUGGAUAAC